GACGAACGCUGGCGGCGUGCUUAACACAUGCAAGUCGAACGAGUGGCGAACGGGUGAGUAAUACGUGUGUACCCUGCCCUCUUUUUGGCAUACGCCUUGGAAACGGGGUCUAAUACCUGACAAAGGGGGAUGGGCUCGCUGCCUGGCUGCUUGUUGGUGGGGUGAUGGCCUCCCAAUGCGUUGAUGGGUUGCUGGCCUGAGAGGUUGAACGGCCACAUUUGGACUGGGUUGCGGCCCAGAGUCCGCCGGGAGGGAGCAGUGGGGGAUAUUGCCCAAUGGGGGAAAGCCUGAUGCAGCGACGCCGCGUGGGGGAUGAAGGCUUUCGAGUUGUAAACCUCGUUCGCUAUCGAACGGGUAGGAGGAGAAGAAGCGCCGGCUAACUACGUGCCAGCAGCCGCGGUAAUAC
rnacentral:rRNA from 1 species